UCGCUCUACUUCAGGUUUCCAGUUCUUGAAAGUUACUGUGGAUAACGACGGUGCAGAUGGGAAGGAAGGAAAAAUAAACAAAAGGGUCAAGAGCUUUCUGCAGAAAAAAUCGAUUAAUUGGAUCGAAGAGGAAGG